rnacentral:rRNA from 1 species
GACGAACGCUGGCGGCGUGCUUAACACAUGCAAGUCGAACGGAAAGGCCUGCUUUCCCCUGUGGAUUGCGGGUACUCGAGUGGCGAACGGGUGAGUAACACGUGAGUGAUCUGCCCCCAACUUGGGUAUAAGCCUGGGAAACUGGGUCUAAUUCCCGAUAGGACUGCAGGGUGGUGCCUGUGGUGGAAAACGAUUUUCUAGUGGUUGGGGAUGAGCUCGCGGCCUAUCAGCUUGUUGGUGGGGUAAUGGCCUACCAAGGCGGGGACGGGUAGCCGGACUGAGAGGAGGGACAGUGGCAUUGGGACUGGGAUACGGCUCAGACGCGUACGGGAGGCAGCAGAGGGGAAUAUAGGAGAAUGGGCGGGAGCCAGAUGUGGCGAGGCCGCGUGGGAGAUGACCGCAUUCGGGUUGUAAACUCCUUUCGAGCGCGAGGAAGCCACCUGGUUGGAAGGGUGGUGACGGUAGUGGUAGAAGAAGCACCGGCUAACUACGUG